AGGCGCGUGGCUUAGUGGUUAGGGCAUUCGGCUCAUAAUCGUAAGGUCAUGAGUUCAAUUCCCGCGGCGACUC
rfam:Octopus bimaculoides Scaffold6289_contig_199, whole genome shotgun sequence.